rnacentral:rRNA from 1 species
UACGAAGGGGGGCUAGCGUUGCUCGGAAUCACUGGGCGUAAAGGGCGCGUAGGCGGCGUUUUAAGUCGGGGGUGAAAGCCUGUGGCUCAACCACAGAAUGGCCCUCGAUACUGGGACGCUUGAGUAUGGUAGAGGUUGGUGGAACUGCGAGUGUAGAGGUGAAAUUCGUAGAUAUUCGCAAGAACACCGGUGGCGAAGGCGGCCAACUGGACCAUUACUGACGGCGAGGCGCGAAAGCGUGGGGAGCAAACG